GGCCCCCGGAGGCAGCCCGCCCGCCCCCGGGGCUGGCCGCGGGCAUCCGGCGGGGUGCUCCGGUUCUCCGAGCCCUCCAAUCCUCGGGGUGCUUCGUUCCAAGGUGGAAGGAUCCCCCGUCCUGCGGGUUGGUGUGUCCAUGGGGUCACCUGCACUGAGGAUGCUCCGUUUGGCAACUCACAAAGUCAUCAACUCAUCUGUGCUUGCUGCUUCCCUUCAAUGCAAAUGGAAGAUGUUGAGCCAGAUCUGCUGAGACCUCAUGGCUGGGGCUUUGUAUGCAAGAGACAGCUCAGAGAACUAUUUGAACUGCAGAGGAUCUUGCAUGUGUUGGAAAAAGAGACAUCACAGACUCUUCUGGUGGGGACCUAGGUCACGCAUGCUUCUGCCUUGAGGUAGAGCAGCCAUUUCAAGUCAUUCCUGUGCCUGCCUGUGUUUUUCCAGGCACUAAGGUGUGGGUUAACCUGUC